GUCAGCAAGCGCCACGGGGCAAAGCUUGGUGGCGUCGGGUGAUGGUGGGCAACUCUUCCUCCUCGAUUCGGCGCUAGGCCGGCACGGGUAGGCUUGCCUGGACGGGGACGACGUGCUUUCACGGGUCCGGCAGCGCGGUGGCAGGAGCAGAUGGAGGCGGCAUCCACGGUUCGGCGGGUGGCGGCGUCAGGCGCGAGAGCUGGCUGUGCGGCGGCUGCAGGUGUUGGGCCUCGAGUGGAUGCGGGCCCCAUCGGGUGGCCGGAUCUGGCGACCUAGCGGGUGGCGCCCUGGUGGCCGGCGAGGUGCUACAGGGGAGGGAGGCCAGGACGGCGCCCCCGUGCCGUGUCUGGUGCGGUUUCAGGUGGGGGCCAGUGUGGUGCUUUGGGCGGGCGGCGGCCCGGCGUGGCUGCUGUGCUGGACGGGGAGCGUGAUGGUGGGGCUGGGCGCAUGCGCAGACGGUGCGGUGCGUGUUGCUCCGGCCGCUUCUUCCCUUGACUGUGGGCGUGUGGAGGUGGGUCCGGCAGCUGCUUGGCGGAGCUCGACAGGGGCUGGAGGUGGUGGCUAGGUGCAGGUGGAGGACAUGACUGGCCUUUGGCGGCGUCCCGGGCGGCCGGAGUUGCCGGCUGCCUAUGGCAUCCCGGUCCAGAUCUGAACGGUCAGAUCGGAUGGGGCAGUCUUCACCCUCCCGGUGGUGUUGUCCCGUAGUUGGCCAGCGACACCAUCGGCCCAUGACCAUCUCCAGCGAUGUCGAGUGGGGACCCGAGGUUGUUGGGGUGGCGUCCACACGUUAUGGCGUCAGUGUAGGGGUGGCGGCGGGGUUCCUGGUUUGUGGUAGUAAGAGUACCACUGAUAUGGCAGCAUUCAAGUGUGCUUGGCGGCAGCCGUCGGUAGUCUUUGCGUUGUAUCCCUCCUAGUCCACCAGGACCGGCUGAGGAUGCUGCUGUGGGUGCUCCCUACUGUGUGGGCGCCGACCCAGACCCGAUGACUGAUGCCGGGCUAGGGGUGAAGGACGGCGUAUUUCACUUCUACUACCAUGGUUGGGUGGUCGUGAUGUGGAUGGUCGGUGGUGCCUUGCGACACCAAUGCCGGGGCGGCGGUCCUGGAUGGCCGGCUUCACGGUUGGCUUCCCGGCAGGCUCCAUGGUGGCGGUGGUGGCUACACCUCUUGGUCGUGUGGGCGGCUAGAGGGGUAGUGGCGGGCGACCCUGGCCUGUUCUGAUAGUGCCCAGAUCUGGUGUGAUGAGCUGACCUUAGUUGCGGUGGUAACCGGGAUCCCUCUAGUGGUGGCGGCGAGUAUUCGAGUGAAAACUUUACAUUUCUGGCGCCGGCGCCGGCGGCGCCCAUGGGGGUCGCAUGCUUCUUGAAGACGUCGUCGUGGAUCUUGCCCCGGUGCCAGGGCUCUGGGUGGGUGAAAACUCUAGUCCAUAUGGACUCGGCAGCGGCAUCGCAUCGCGUCAAGUGCCCUUGGUCGAACCUCGUCUAGGUGUUAGGCUUGUUCUGGUUUCUUGUUUAUCUUCUGAUCUUCAUUGUAAGAGGGGCUCCCCACCAUAUUGUAUUGUUCGGCCGUGUACUCUGUUAUGAUGUUGCUUUAUAUAUAAAGCGGAGCGAAAGCCUGUUUCGAGAUUUUGGAAUCUCAAAUGCAUAUUAAAAAUUGCUACACCUCUUCCGUAAUCCAUGGGAAUGGAGCUGAAAAUUAGUGACAGUAGAUUGAUUUCAGUGCUCAUACCAUGAUUUAAUCCAUGGGAAGGGAGCAUUAAUCAGAAGGAUUAACUCACCAUGGUGACAAAUUGCUUUGUUCGUGACUUCUAAAACAAGGUCACAAGGGUGUGUAGUAAGUAACAUAGAAGUAAGGGGAAUGUUUGCUGUUUGGAGAAAGCUCGUCUCCGGCCUCCUUUAGGGUCUUACUUCUACAGAGACUAGAAUUAUUCUUCUAG